UAUAGAGCAAAAGAAGAACUGAAACCGCAGAAUUAUCAAUAUGAAACAAAAAGAGCAGCAAUUGUUCACCCCAUUGCAAAAUAGUGGUGAAAAAUAACUCAAUUCAAAUCGGUUAAAGUUCAAAAUGGUGCUAGAAGCAACAAGUCUCCGCCGUAUCUGGAAGAAUUGUGAUUGCCUGUAUAGAUACGUUCCAUCGAAAUGAGAGUUUUUUCUCACAAGAGUAGUAUCGGGUAAAAAGGUUUGAGCCAAGGCGCAUUUAUUAAAAGUUGUGACAUAGACCAACAAAAAUGAGCACAAUACAAAUUUUUUUCUUGCAAGCACUUAAACAACAAAUGAUUUGUUUACAAAAUUCUUCAGUUUUUUAACACAAAACUACUAAUGUGUCUAAGGUAAUUAUCCAGUUUGAGGGUCACAUGAAAAAAUUGGUCACGAAGAGUCAAGAGACAUACCAAUCCAUGCGUAUUAAACCCAUUAUGAAUAAUGUGAAGGAGCAAAACGACUUUUUCCGUUCAAAAAUUAUUAAUAAAAUAAAUAAUAAUAAAAUAAUGUAUAAUGUUGCUCUUAUCUAUAACUAAGUACAUGAAAGUAAAUACACUUAGAGGUCAAACUUCACUUUCUAAAAACUAAUUCAAAAACGGAUUGAGCCAAGCUAAUUUACCCAUAUCAACUCUGGGCGAAAUUUUUAAAGCAAAAAGGUCAAUUGACUCAGAGGUUGUCUUUGAUAAUGAAACUUUGAAUGAUAUCAGCGAUUUAGUAGAUGGCAUAGAAUUAACACCAGCUACCCCAGAUGAAGGAGUACGGCACUGGACUUGAACGGCACUAUAUUGAUGGGAAAAAGAGUUCCGAUGCACAAUUUUAUAAAAUGCUGAGGAAAAUAUGAAAAAAGAAGAAAACACAGAACAGAAAAAGCAAGCGGAACCUAAACUAAAUAAUAUUUCAUAAAAAAUUAAAGUAUUAAAAUUGAACAUACACAUAUGCAUAUUUCUUUACCAAUUGCUUAGGGAUAUAUG